AUGUUGGUMAAAGUCCAACACCAAAAAUGCAAGAAGUUCAUGAYGUUUCAGCCUGGGUUCUCGUACGGAGAUGUCAUCAAUCAAGUCCAAAAUAGGUUUGGAUUGCCCUCUUCAACACAAAUACAAAUGUUUGAUGAUUCCCAAACUGAGGUGGAGGAGGAUAUCCUGCUGGACCUGAUUGAGGCCAAUCCAGACCUGUGCCUCACAAUCAAAGAUCUUCAUGAAGUUAUCUUUCUACAGUCUCACAUAAUGAUAUCAAAUAACAUGAAUGUAUAGAUUGAUUGCUUUGAUCCAUUGUUUGUGCUCAGACUUUUCUCCUGCAUGCUCUUCAACACCUCGUUCGUGCACAGACACAUUAUCCCUCUUGAUUUAGACCUGAGAUCUCCAGGAAGACCGUCCAAAAAGGCCAACACAACCUUAGGAGAUGAGGUCAUCGACUCCGCAGUAGCAAAAGAGAUGGUCCGAGAUGCCCUGACUAGUAGACCUGGUGGGCAAGACGUAUUCGAUGAGUACCAGACAACCAAAACAUUGGACCACAGAACCAGGAGAGAGAUGAUUGCCAUCUUAGUCAGCCACAUGAAAUAGAUGUAGGGGAUAGCUUCUCAUUUUCCAAUCUGGCCACAAACAAUGGAUCAAAACAAUCAAACUAUACAUUUAUGUUAUUUGGCAUCAGUAUGAGACUGUGGAAAGAUGCCGUACCUUCAACAAAAGGAUAAACAUAUUUGGCCUGUGUAUGCUUUACCGUUUGAUGGAAAAAGGAUCUCUCAACUAAGGGACGAUCAAGUCAAUAUUCCAAGAGCAUAACGUUCUCUCUGUUGACAAGUGGGAACCCUCCUUCUCAAAAAGGCUUUGUGAGUGCUGGUAGAGCAUGCUUGCUUUAAUAUUUUGACACUUGUCCUGUGGACAGAAAGGGGCAUCAAAUAGUCAUAGAAUCAAGUCAAAAAAUAAUAACCGUUUGACUACCAUGAUGGUCACCUUUUCCCACAUCUAAGGGAAAACUUCUAUGAUCCUGACGCGGGUAAAAGAUAUCUGAAUUAUCUCCUGAAGAUGGUAUYAAAGAAGACCUCACGUCAACCCAUCAAGAAGAGUAUUUCACCCCAGUCGGGAGGCCCAACCCAUAGGAGGAAGACUGUCCUGGACCACAAGCUUGUUGGUGAUGCUUGCAAGGAGGCCAUAUUAUUCCUUGUUCACUCGGCUGAUGAAAAACAAAUAUAGCAGAAGAUGGAGGUGUUCCAGUAUUGCCAGGAGCUAGUUUAUAGCAGAGAUGUCCUUACAGUCUUUCACAGGUUUCUGGAAAUCAGAGGAUUGGUGAACCAGGACUUUUUGCUGAUGUUCGAUGAUGAAACAUCCUCUAAGCUCCUGAAAAGUGGGACACUGCAUUGAAGUCAUCAAACUGGCAAAAUCCUUGACUACGACCACCGAUUUGCUUCGCCUCCUGAAAGUCUGCUGAAAAACUGCCAGAGAAUGACAGCAAAACCAGAGGAAAGAAGACCAAGAUCAGUGCCAGUAAUGCUUUUGGCAGACUAGUGCACUUUCAUAACUGUGUUGCAGUCAUGCUACCGCAUUGAAGAACAUCUUGAUGGGAGCCAUGGUCGACAGCCAUACCUCCUUGCCGUCGGAAGAAGACAGAGCAAGAUUGACAACUGCUAUAUUGGUGGACAAGAGGCUUGUUCCCUGUCAGGCAACUAACAGUCUGUGUGUUUGAUGAACUGUUCAUCAAAAAGGAAACAACACCUCCACUUCGCUGAUCCUCAACACUGGGGCCCCCUCCUGUACUCCCUGUUCAUCCAUGAC